rnacentral:rRNA from 1 species
GAUGAACGCUGGCGGCGUGCCUAAUACAUGCAAGUCGAGCGAACAGACGAGGAGCUUGCUCCUCUGACGUUAGCGGCGGACGGGUGAGUAACACGUGGAUAACCUACCUAUAAGACUGGGAUAACUUCGGGAAACCGGAGCUAAUACCGGAUAAUAUAUUGAACCGCAUGGUUCAAUAGUGAAAGACGGUUUUGCUGUCACUUAUAGAUGGAUCCGCGCCGCAUUAGCUAGUUGGUAAGGUAACGGCUUACCAAGGCAACGAUGCGUAGCCGACCUGAGAGGGUUAUCCGGCACACCUGAACUGAGACACGGUCCCAGCUCCUACGGGAGGCCGCCAUAGGGAAUUUUCCGCCAUGGGCCAAAGCCUUACCGAGCCACCCCGCCUGAGUGAUUAAGGUCUUCCGAUCGUAAAACUCCUUUAUUAGGGAAGAACAAAUGUGUAAAUAACUAUGCCCCUCUUUACGGUACCCAAUCAGAAAGCCACGGCUAACUACGUG